ensembl:miRNA gga-mir-1715 gga-mir-1715
GGCUAAGAGAAGGAAGCAGAGGAUCAGUAGAAGUCAGCUGUGCAGGCAGUGCUGAGCGAUGCAGCUGACACUGCGGGUACCUCUUUUCCAUGCUCUGUAACC